rnacentral:snRNA from 1 species
AGCUUUGCCCAGUGGCAGUAUCAUAGCCAAUGAGGUUUAUCCGAGGUGUAAUUAUUGCUAAUUGAAAACUUUUCCCAAUACUCCGCCAUGACAACUUGAAAUAUAGUCGGCGUUGGCAAUUUUUGAGUCUCUACGGGGA